UACGGAGGGGGCGAGCGUUAUUCGGAAUUAUUGGGCGUAAAGGGCGCGUAGGCGGCUAGAUGUGUCAAAGGUGAAAUCCCUCGGCUCAACUGAGGAACUGCCUUUGAAACUGUCUGGCUUGAGGCCGGGAGAGGGUAGCGGAAUUCCCAGUGUAGCGGUGAAAUGCGUAGAUAUUGGGAGGAACACCAGUGGCGAAGGCGGCUACCUGGACCGGUUCUGACGCUGAGGCGCGAAAGCGUGGGUAGCAAACAGG
rnacentral:rRNA from 1 species